ensembl:snoRNA
GGUCAGUGAUGUGAAGUAAAAGGUCUGAUGCUCGCUGCCAUCCCAGCAGCCCUUUGACUCCCAGAAGCCCCUGCUCUUCUCCCAUCAUGCUCUAGUUGUGCGUGUUGGGUCCAGGGGCUCCUGACAGCCUGGAUGACCUUUUGAUCUGUGUCUCCGAGAGACCAUGGGGUCACGGCAGUGAAGGACAUCUGACAGAGCCAGCUUUCAAGGAGUGGCAGGUGCAGGGAUUGGCACUGGCACCUGAUCUCAAGUUUUCAAGCUGAGACC